UCGUCAGCUCGUGUCGUGAGAUUUUGGGUUAAGUCCCGCAACGAGCGCAACCCUUGAUCUUAGUUGCCAUUAUUAAGUUGGGCACUCUAAGGUGACUGCCGGUGACAAACCGGAGGAAGGUGGGGAUGACGUCAAAUCAUCUUGCCCCUUAUGACCUGGGCUACACACGUGCUACAAUGGACGGUACAAAGAGCUGCAAGACCGCGAGGUGGAGCUAAUCUCAUAAAACCGUUCUCAGUUCGGAUUGUAGGCUGCAACUCGCCUACAUGAAGCUGGAAUCGCUAGUAAUCGCGGAUCAGCAUGCCGCGGUGAAUACGUUCCCGGGCCUUGUACACACCGCCCGUCACACCACGAGAGUUUGUAACACCCGAAGUCGGUGGGGUAACCUUUUUGGAGCCAGCCGCCUAAGGUGGGACAGAUGAUUGGGGUGAUGUCGUAACAGGGAAAGCGGGGGGAGGAAACAGGAUUU
rnacentral:rRNA from 1 species